CGGCCAGGAAUAGCCAUACAGUGAUACAAUGGCUAAGAAAUGAUGCUUACACAUCAAAAUGAAUCAACGCUAGUUCUGCGAAAGAAAAUCGCGUCAGCCAUGAUUUGCUGUACUUUAUUACAAGAUAUACCACGUUGAUUAGACAACGUCAAGUUCAAUAUUUUUAUAAAGGGAUUGUGUCACCUGGUAUGUCCAUAAAUAUAUAUAUUAUGCGCACGCUAUGUCAUAAUAGCUUGUCAGACGUAAUCAAUAUUCGCGAUUACACAGUUCGCAAAAUUUUUUUUUAAUCACGCUCUAAUUUUAUAUUCGGCGAUGAGUCAUACGAAUUUCUAUCGCUUCAAACUUUACAAUCUUUAGAUUUUGAUUGCAAUGCCAACAUAGAAAACAACUCGUAAACAUAUUUAUUACAAUUUACAAUUGACACCGAAUAAAUGUAUUUUACAAGCAAAAAUAUGGACGAAUCAGAGUUGAUAUUCUUAGCACGACAGUGCUGCCGUACAAAUAACAAAGGAGCAAAUGGAAGCCUAUAUAUUAUGAUAAUGACUGGUGCAAAAUAUUUUAGGCGACUACAUCCUCUUUCUCAUAUUAGAAAUGAGACAACUAUAGAGUACCAUUUGAAUCAAUAUCACGGAAAACACGUUCGCAACCUUGUCGGUUCGAUUAAAAUUAGAUAAGAGUUUUCUACGUCGCCGAAUGUGAUAUAUAGCAAUUGACGAAAGCCAUGAACUGUAUAGCAAAGAAAUAAUCCUAAUUCUUCCAAUUUGAAUGUUACAUUUUGGUAUUUGAAUGUUCAAAGGACUUGGAAUACCUUUUUUCUCUUCACAAAUGUAUCUAUUUAAACGUUGACCUAAUUAAAAUAAACAAGAAAAUGAUCGUCAAAUAUAACUGAACAAAUUAUAAAUGUGAGAA